rnacentral:rRNA from 1 species
AUCGAACGCUGGCGGCAGGCCUAACACAUGCAAGUCGAACGAGGGGAGGAGGGGUGAGUUAUGUCUGGGAAACUGCCUGCUGUAGGGGGAUAACUACUGGAAACGGUAGCUAUAACCACAUAGCAUCAGAUGUGCCCAGAUGGGAUUAGCUAGUUGGUGGGGGAACGGUGCACAAAGGCGACGAUGCCUGGCUGGUCUGAGAGGAUGACCAGCCACCCGGGAACUUAGACACGGUCCAGACGCCUACGGGAGGCAGCAGGGGGGAAUAGUGGGCUAUGGGCACAAGGCUGAUGGAGCCAUGCCGCGUGUAUGAAGAAGGCCUUCGGGUUGUAAGGUUCUUACAGUGUGGAGGCGUUACGCGCAGAAGAAGCACCGGCUAACUCCGUGCCAGCAGCCGCGGUAAUUC